rnacentral:lncRNA from 1 species
GGGUGAGAGACCUAGAAUCUAUUCUAGGGUUUUGGGAAGAGAGAAAAGAGAGAAGAGAGUUCUCAUCUUUGUCUUCCUCCAUCACCGCAUCCUUCUCCAUCUUCCAUCUUCAGAUCUGAAGGAGUCUAAGAGAUCUGAAGAGAGGAGUAGAUCAGCCAUCUAGAAGGUCUUCACAUGAGUUAGCACUUUUAGAGAGAUCGAUCAGCAUAGGGUUUCGAGUGGACCAUCCAUAGAAGCCGAACACCCUAUGCGGCUAUGAGCAACCAGCGAGACCUCAAAUCCUUAUGAUUCAUAUGCAGUGAUCUACUAUCCACACUAAGGUAUUGAGUUCUAAACUCGAUAUUGAUAUAGAUGUGAUCUAUAUAGUCGAUG